rnacentral:rRNA from 1 species
ACCAGACUCCUACGGGAGGCAGCAGUGGGGAAUAUUGCACAAUGGGGGGAACCCUGAUGCAGCGACGCCGCGUGGGCGAGGAAGUAUUUCGGUAUGUAAAGCCCUAUCGGCAGGGAAGAAGAAAUGACGGUACCUGAAUAAGAAGCACCGGCUAAAUACGUGCCAGCAGCCGCGGUAAUACGUAUGGGGCAAGCGUUAUCCGGAUUUACUGGGCGUAAAGGGAGCGCAGGCGGCGCGCCAAGUCUGAUGUGAAAACCCGGGGCUCAACCCCGGGAAUGCAUUGGAAACUGGCAGGCUGGAGUGCCGGAGAGGUAAGCGGAAUUCCUAGUGUAGCGGUGAAAUGCGUAGAUAUUAGGAGGAACACCAGUGGCGAAGGCGGCUUACUGGACGGCAACUGACGCUGAGGCUCGAAAGCGUGGGGAGCAAACAGGAUUAGAUACCCCAGUACC